CCCUUUCCCUUUAAUCCCUUUCAAACGUAACACAGCAGCAGAGAAGGAGAGCUGUGAUCGAAAAAGAGGAAGAGCCACGCUGUCGCCGCUGUCCAGCCGCCUCGCCACCACCGUCGCGCCGCCACCGCGCCAUCGUCGCUCCCAGCUCGCCGCCAUCCUCCACGUCAUUGCCGCCAUUGUUCGCAAAGAGGAGAGAGAGAGAGACGUUGAGACAGAGCAGCGCCGAGAGGGAGAGGAGCUUCCAUCAUCGUCGAUUCGUGCACGCCAAGGGUUCCAUCGCAGCCAACCCGUCGCAGUUGGUGUCGCUGCCGUCUCUGUUGGAUUCCACCGUGGAGAAGAGAAUGACACGAGGGAGAGAGGGAGACAGAGCCGUGCGAGCCAGAGGAGGCACUGUCCUCGUUGUUGCUGCCACGGUCGCUGGUGAGUCGUGCACCGCCAUCAGAGUCAUCAGAAGACAACAUCAGCCUUCUUGUUCUGGUUUCGAUUCCUCCAUUUCUAAAACUUUCUGCCACUUUGCUUCAAAAUUGCUGUUGUAACUCGUAUUGGUUUUGGGACUGUUGUGGCUGCUGCUGGUUUUGUUCGAAGCUACUGCUGUUGUGAGAAAGGAAAAAGGAAUUUGUCGCGGUUAAGGAAUUCUUCGAGUUCCGGUUAUCUGAGGUAGGGGAUUUAUUUUAAAAUUAACUGUUUUAAUUUAUGAAUACCAAUGAAGUUUAGUGAGUAACUGCAAAUAAUUUAUAAAUGUCUUGUUUGGUUAAUUGAUGAAAAUUGAUGAAAUUGAGAUUGUUGGUGAUUAUGAAUAUGGUUGAAUGUAAUGAAAUUGUGAUGAGAUUGAUUUAUAGCUGUGUUUGAGGAUGAUAAUUUCUGUUGGUUGUGUGAUUUGAUGAUGAUGAGGGUAUGCUUGAAAUGCUGUUGGAAGUUGAUGAACUAUUAUGAAUAUGUAUGUGUAAUUUUGUGAAUUAUUGAUUCCGAAUUCUUGGAACUAUACUACUAAUUCUAAUAACUAUGUUUAAUGAAAUGGAAGUUGGAAUUGCGAUAUUGGAAGAGUUCUAGGCUUAGAUACAAAAGUGGGAGUGUAAGGUUGCUUAAUUGUCAUUAAAUUGAAAUAUGAUUAGUUAAUUAUUGAAUGAAAUAUAUUUGAGAAAAGUUAGUUGUUGUGAUUACUCUGAAUUAUGAUUGAAGCUGGAUGUGGUUCUGAAUUACUCUGAAAAGUUUGCUUAUUUUAUUUUCUUGUGAUUGUGCUGUUUGUCUUAUUGUGACUUGCUUGUAUGUUGAAUUGAAUCUUUUACUUGUACUAUUAGUUUAUGAAUGUAUUAAAGUGAUUACGAGUUGCUGUUUUGAUUAAGAAUUAAUUAUGUGGCUAAGAGAUGGUUAAUGUGACUAGUUUUAUAUUUAGAAUCUGUUUUGAGUUUAGAGAUUUUAAAAGAGGUAAUUAUUUAAAGUAAGACCAAGAGCAUUUUCAAAAAAUUUGAUAAAAAUAUAGUUGAAUUUGAUAAAACUAGAGAUUUGAAAACUAUCAUAGUUGAAUUUGUUGUUGCAAAUUAUGAUUUGAGAUGAAUUUGUUGUCGUAUGUUGAAUUGUUGCUGAACAUAUCACUGAGCUUUAGUUUUGAAAGGAAGAAUGGAGAUGUACCCCAAGUGAGUUAAAUACUUCUGCAAUAAAUAAUUCAUGUCAAUGCUAUUACAAAGGAAGAUUUCCUUGCUCGGUUGCUCCCAAUGAACUUGAACCUUUUAAGAAUUUUUCUUCUCAGGUUUGAUGUUAAUGCAGCUUGCUGCUUUGGACUUUAUUGCAUGUGCAACUGCUGAUGUAUUUUCCAUGACAGAUUCUAGUACCAACUCUCAGCAAUGGUGUCUGGAUUCAGAAGCUACUAUGGUGGCGAUCAUGCUCCCACUUUGAGGCCUAAUUAACAAGAAGAGGCUGGCAUGUGUAGACAACCUUAACACCAUCAAUCAACACACUCACGCACCCAUUGUAUAAUAUUAGACUAAGACCAGCCCAAUGCACAUGGAGCUGAAUUACUUAUACUAUAUAGUAGUAUAGAUCUAAAAAUGUUAUUACUUAUAACUUAAUUUAUGUAUAAUUUUAUUGAUUUUAUUGAUAUGUUAGUUGGUUACUUUAAUCACAACU